GGCGACCAUAGCAAGAGUGAACCACCUGAUCCCUUCCCGAACUCAGAAGUGAAACCUCUUAGCGCUGA
rnacentral:rRNA from 1 species